rnacentral:piRNA from 1 species
UGAUCACUCUUAAAGUAGUCCUGC